GCAUUCCCUCAUGGUUGCUAGUGCAGCGAAGAGUAUAUUGAGAAAUGUCUCCUAGGUGACAGGUGACAGCCUUUUCCAAGUAGCCUCCUCGGAUUCUGAAAGCAUUUGUUCCUUUGAGGAAGAAGAAUGAGAUCAGAGGUUUGAGCAGCCUGGAGCGUUGGUGAUGACACAGAGACCAAAAGGAAAUUCUCUAAAAUCAAGUACUCAAGAGAAGCCCUUGCCAGAAGAUCGGCGAAUUUUGAUUUCUGACAAAGCUCUGUGAGGUUGCUAUGAUGGAAGAGGAUCCAUUAUUGGGGGGAUCUUAGUAAGGUGGGACACUUAACCAAUAGUCAUUGGAAGGCCUCACCAUUCUGUUUCUGGUAAAUAUUGAAAGAUGACCUCUGUCCAUGUGGGCUUACAAAGACUUUAAUUCCUACUCAUAGAAAACAAGCCCUAAAACGUGUGUACAGCAACAUUUGGCUUUGUUGAAUCUCAUCUUCGCUAGGCUACAUGUUAGCUAGCAAUUUUUUUCAUGUUUCCUGAGGGCUGAGGCCAGUGUUUAGAUACUAGAAAAAGAAUGGCUUCUCUUCAUCUUGGUCCAGAAAAAGAUAGUUUAGACAAGUACUGGGAUGAAUUGUUGAAAGUUCUGAUCCUCUGGGGCUAAAUGUUUUUCUUCGUUCAGGUUUUUGGAAAGCAAAAUAUUAUAAAGGAGAAUUAACCAUG